ACCCCAAAAUUUUUAAUUUUUUAAUUGGACCACGUGUCCAGUUUGGAUUCGCCAAAGUGGCAUUAUCGGAAAGUUUUCCGAUAAAUAAGAUUUAGCAGGUCGGUUUUAGAAAAGAUAAUUUCGGAGAAAAUUUAUAUUAUAUUUCAAUUCUGAAGUUAGAAUUGGAAUAAAAAGGAAAAAUGUCAAGAAAAGUCCAAAAUGAAGUACAGGGAUCAAAGUGGUAAUUUAGCCACUUUAUGUCGAAAAUAGAAAUAUGGAAUUUUGACGGGAAAGUGUUAAAAUCAAGCUUUGUAUUAUUUAUAGUAUAUAAAUAAUACGUAUAAGUUAUAAUAGAAGAGUUAAUCGAUUUAGUUAUGGACUAAAUUGUACGAAAGAAAAGUUAGAAAGAUAAAUUGUAACAAGGAAGGAAAGGAAGGACUAAAACAGACGUUUAGCCAUGUAUAUAUAAGAGAAAACCUUUGAAUGAAGGAUGUAUCAGAGGUAAGAAUCCAGAAGCUUGAAGUUUUCCACCGAUUACUUCGUUUCUUCACGGUUUCUUCGUUCGACGUCCGAAUCAAGCGGUUUUCGCGUCGAUUUCUUCGAAAUUGAAAGCUCUAUCAUCUCCAAGCUUCAAAUCAAGACGUACGACCGAGCGGUGAGGGCACUAGGGGUGUACUAGCACGAGCAUAUUACCACAUCGACCAUAUUUGUGAUUGGAUUGCGGUCACUGUGCUUAGUUUCUGGACUUAGCUAGAGGCCAAUUUUGAAGUCCAGAAGUCAGCUGUAUAUGUUAGUCUCUGACUUCUGUGAGUGCUGCAGUAGUGGUCCUUUGUCGAUAGUAUUGUAGCCUAGACAGCAGUUCAUUUUGAUUGUAUAUAUUAACUGCUGUUAUUGUUUUAUAUGCAUUUUGAUAGGCUACGUGUUUAGUAUAUGAUCCACGGCCCCAGGUGCCGGUGAGAUGUUUGGAACACUAACUGAUGUAUAUAGUACCGCGAGGCCAGUUCGUACAGGGUACGGCAACUAGAGCC